rnacentral:rRNA from 1 species
CGGGUCAACAUCCCGCGGUGAAUAUGCCCCUGCUCCUUGCACACACCGCCCGUCAAACCACCUUAGUUGGGUCUGGACGAGGGUUUGUCUUCUGACACGCUCGAAUCUGGGUUCAGCGAGGAGGGUUAAGUCGUAACAAGGUAUCCGUAGGGGAACCUGCGGAUGGAUCACCUCCUAA